ACAGUUUGCUGGACCUCACAGAGGUGAUUGAUGCAGCAUCCCCCCGGGAGCCGGGUGAAAUCACAGACUCCAGCAGCAGCUUCUGAGAUGACUGUGGCUAACAAAUUUUUCCAGCAACACAGAGCUGAGAGGAUUGGGAUCUCAGAGAAGAAGGAGCCCUGCAUUCUUGGCUUCAUCUGCCUGGAGUGGAGUUUCCAUCAUGCUGAGCUGGAGGUGCACGGGGCCAGGGAAUGAGCAAGUCGUAGCUCAAAUGUCCCAGACUCUUACUAUUCUUAUUGAAAUUUAGUAGGUUUUCUUGAAUAAAUGUUUCUUCAUCUGCUGUAUGCCCUUAGGACAAUUCCCAGGAACAUACAUCUAUAUUGAUAUCAAUAUAAAUAUAAAUAGAUAAUUAUGUAUGUAUAACUUUAGCAGUUUUACUUGUUCUGCUGGAAAGAAGGUCUGGAAGGUUUGCAGAGCUGCUCAUGCCACCAUUCCAGAAGUUAUCCACCAGUUCAUUGCUUUUUGCACAGUAGUAUUCCAUUGCAUGUCUAUGCCACAAUUUGUUUAUCCAUUCACCUGUUGAUGGACAUUUGAGCUGUUUCCUGUUUGAGGCUAUUACAAAUAAAGCUGCUUUACAAA
rnacentral:lncRNA from 10 species